UACGUAGGGUGCGAGCGUUGUCCGGAAUUAUUGGGCGUAAAGAGCUCGUAGGCGGUUUGUCGCGUCUGCCGUGAAAGUCCGGGGCUCAACUCCGGAUCUGCGGUGGGUACGGGCAGACUAGAGUGCAGUAGGGGAGACUGGAAUUCCUGGUGUAGCGGUGAAAUGCGCAGAUAUCAGGAGGAACACCGAUGGCGAAGGCAGGUCUCUGGGCUGUAAACUGACGCUGAGGAGCGAAAGCAUGGGGAGCGAACAGG
rnacentral:rRNA from 1 species